rnacentral:lncRNA from 1 species
GGUGACGGUCCAUUUUGGGGUCGUUACAGAUUGGUAUCAGAGCCCUAGGUUCACAUGAUCGGACCUAUAGAGACAGUGUUGGGCUCAGACAGGUUAGAAGUGGUCAAGCACAAUAGGAAAUCAUGUCCACUAGGAUAGGGUCUUGAGUCCUAUCUGCUAUGAUAUGAUAUGCCAUGAGUGUUGUAUGUGUAUGAUUGCUAUGUGAUGUUUAUGUGCUAAAGUGGUAUGUUAUAUGUUGUGUUUCCAGAGAGUAAAGAUGCGAGGAACUCGUCGAUCAGCUCGAUUGACUGGAGUCCCACCAGAGCAUGAGAGACCAGCUGCUCGUCCUCCUGCAUUGCCAAGGGCAAGGUCUCAGAGAUCUAGCAGGGAAGGUACGUCAAUAGACCCUAGAAGGUCUGUCGACGAGAGCAGAAGAGGAACAGUUAGGGGAGGUAGAUCAGAGGAAAGGAGGGA